rnacentral:rRNA from 1 species
UGGGGAAUUUUGCGCAAUGGGGGAAACCCUGACGCAGCAACGCCGCGUGGAGGAUGAAGGCCUUGGGACGUAAACUCCUUUCGACCGGGACGAUGAUGACGGUACGGGUGGAAGAAGCCCCGGCUAACUUCGUGCCAGCAGCCUCGGUGAUAGCUCAGG